GACGAACGCUGGCGGCGUGCUUAACACAUGCAAGUCGAACGGAAAGGCCCUGCUUUUGUGGGGUGCUCGAGUGGCGAACGGGUGAGUAACACGUGAGUAACCUGCCCUUGACUUUGGGAUAACUUCAGGAAACUGGGUCUAAUACCGGAUAGGGGCUCCUGCUGCAUGGUGGGGGUUGGAAAGGUUCGGCGGUUGGGGAUGGACUGGCGGCUUAUCAGCUUGUUGGUGGGGUAGUGGCUUACCAAGGCUUUGACGGGUAGCCGGCCUGAGAGGGUGACCGGCCACAUUGGGACUGAGAUACGGCCCAGACUCCUACGGGAGGCAGCAGUGGGGAAUAUUGCACAAUGGGCGGAAGCCUGAUGAAGCAACGCCGCGUGCGGGAUGACGGCCUUCGGGUUGUAAACCGCUUUCGCCUGUGACGAAGCGUGAGUGACGGUAAUGGGUAAAGAAGCACCGGCUAACUACGUG
rnacentral:rRNA from 1 species